AAUGAACGCUGGCGGCGUGCCUAACACAUGCAAGUCGAGCGAGAACGUCGACUUCGGUCGAUUAGUAGAGCGGCGAACGGGUGAGUAACACGUGGGUAACCUGCCUUGGAGUGGGGGAUAACCUGGGGAAACUCGGGCUAAUACCGCAUACGUUCUCAGCAUUGCGAUGCUGAGAGGAAAGCUGGCCAAUUCUUGAAAGCUGGCGCUCCUGGAUGGGCCCGCGCCCGAUUAGCUUGUUGGUGGGGUAACGGCCCACCAAGGCUGCGAUCGGUAGCCGACCUGAGAGGGUGAACGGCCACACUGGGACUGAGACACGGCCCAGACUCCUACGGGAGGCAGCAGUGGGGAAUAUUGGACAAUGGGCGAAAGCCUGAUCCAGCAACGCCGCGUGGAGGACGAAGGCCUUCGGGUCGUAAACUCCUGUCAGCUGGGACGAAAAGUCGUCGGUAAAUAGCCGGCGAUCAUGACAGUACCAGCAGAGGAAGCCCCGGCUAACUCCGUG
rnacentral:rRNA from 1 species